rnacentral:lncRNA from 1 species
UCCGUGUUGAAUAAAAUACUACUUAUUCUUAACUGUAUUUUUUUUGAGGCUUCAUUUAUCAAAUGUUGGUGGUAAUUUUAGUUAUGCCACUGUGAAAGCGUCGAUUGUUAAGCAGACAUAAAAAGUUUGAAGUAUGCACAAAGCCUGAAAGUGUUAAAUAUGGAACCUAAAAAAACCUGCCUUUGCCACUGACUGUAUAAAGGUUUUUUAAGGUCUGUUUGCAAGCGUCAAGUUAGGUUAUCUUGCUACUGGUACCAUGUAGUUCAUCCUGCUUAAGCAGGUUGUACGCCAUCCAUACGACGUUUGGGCAUCUGUUUGUAAAAUAUUGCUGCAAAUCUUUUUGAGAGAGCCAUUACUAUGGAGAACCAUCUAAACCAUACAAGUGUGGAAACAUGGAUAUUAAUGUGAAAUAAACUGAUGAGUUUAUUUAACUUAGCUGGUAAAAAAAAGAGUUUUCG